CCCAGACUCCUACGGGAGGCAGCAGUGAGGAAUAUUGGUCAAUGGGCGGGAGCCUGAACCAGCCAAGUCGCGUGAGGGACGACGGUCCUAUGGAUUGUAAACCUCUUUUGUCGGGGAACAAAGGCGUCCACGGGUGGGCGGAUGAGUGUACCCGAAGAAAAAGCAUCGGCUAACUCCGUGCCAGCAGCCGCGGUAAUACGGAGGAUGCGAGCGUUAUCCGGAUUUAUUGGGUUUAAAGGGUGCGUAGGCGGACUGGAAAGUCAGCGGUAAAAUCGAGAGGCCCAACCUCUUUCCGCCGUUGAAACUGUCGGUCUUGAGUGGGCGAGAAGUAUGCGGAAUGCGUGGUGUAGCGGUGAAAUGCAUAGAUAUCACGCAGAACUCCGAUUGCGAAGGCAGCAUACCGGCGCCCGACUGACGCUGAGGCACGAAAGCGUGGGUAUCGAACAGGAUUAGAUACCCGGGUAG
rnacentral:rRNA from 1 species